GAUGAACGCUGGCGGCGUGCCUAACACAUGCAAGUCGAGCGAUCUUCUUCGGAAGAGAGCGGCGGACGGGUGAGUAACGCGUGGGUAACCUGCCUCAUACACAUGGAUAACAUACCGAAAGGUAUGCCAAUACCAGAUGAUAUAAGAUAUUCGCAUGGAUUUCUUAUCAAAGCUUCGGCGGUAUGAGAUGGACCCGCAUCUGAUCAGCUAGGUGGUAAGGUAACGGCUUACCAAGGCGACAGUCAGUAGCCGACCUGAGAGGGGGAGCCGCCAGAUUGGAGCGGAGACACGGUCGAAACUCCUACGGGAGGCAGCAGUGGGGAAUAGUGCACAAUGGGGGAUAGCCUCAUGGAGCAACGCCGCGUGAGCGAUGAAGGCCUUCGGGUCGUAAAGCUCUGUCCUCAAGGAAGAUAAUGGCGGUACUUGAGGAGGAAGCCCCGGCUAACUACGUGCCAGCCGCCGCUGUAA
rnacentral:rRNA from 1 species